rnacentral:misc_RNA from 1 species
CCAAACUUGGUCAUUUAGAGGAAGUAAAAGUCGUAACAAGGUCUCCGUAGGUGAACCUGCGGAGGGAUCAUUACAGGGCAUUAAACCCCUAAAACCCAAUUGUAAAUCUACCUUUUAUUACAUUCUUCUGGCAGGCGGUCCCUGGGAGGGACCUCUGGCUAUUUUUAAUGGUGCCUGCCGAAGAACCAAAACUCUUUUAUUUUGAUAAGUCAUCUGAGUUUUCAAACAAAAAUAAGUCAAAACUUUCAACAACGGAUCUCUUGGUUCUGGCAUCGAUGAAGAACGCAGC